rnacentral:rRNA from 1 species
UACGUAGGGAGCAAGCGUUGUUCGGAUUUACUGGGCGUAAAGGGCGCGUAGGCGGCAGAUCAAGUCAGUUGUGAAAUCUCUGAGCUUAACUCAGAACUGUCAACUGAUACUGCUCUGCUAGAGUGCGGAAGGGGCAAUCGGAAUUCUUGGUGUAGCGGUGAAAUGCGUAGAUAUCAAGAGGAACACCUGAGGUGAAGACGGGUUGCUGGGCCGACACUGACGCUGAGGCACGAAAGCGUGGGUAGCAAACAGG